ensembl:lncRNA
ACUUGGUUGCGUCAUGUGAAGUUGUGGCCUUGGUCCGGAGAGGCACGACAUGGAAAGUCGCCCCACAACGAAGUCUGACAGUCAGCUGUCCUGUCAAACACUGUGGACGAACAUUAAAUAUCACCUGGUGUAAAGUCCUCCAGUCAAACUGUGAACAGCUGAAUAAAACAGAGAACGUAGAACUAAGACAGAAUCACAACCAAGCUAAUGAUCAACUAGUAUCUUAUUUGAGUUUCAAGCAGAUUUCCAUUUAUGAUGACGGUCUCUACAGAUGUAAGUUUAUAGGAGACAAACUUGGAGAAUUUAGUCAUUCCAUCAAGAUCUCAGUUUCAGUUUAGGACCGCUAAUGGUUCUUCUUCUUCUAUAGUCAAGAUAUCGAGCACUGAUGGUGAGGAUGAUUAUUCCUGGCUGCCGUAUUUCUGCAUCCCUGUGAGCAUAGUUCUCCUGAUUGUCACACUGACAGUGAUAACGAUGCUGAAAUUUUACGGCUGGAGGCGAAUACUGACCAUCAACCACACAAAAGGAGAGGAGAUGCCCACUCAUAUGAUACCAGACUUCCCCAAAUGGACCCAUUCUUUCUCUCCUGUCCUACGAAGCAGUGUCUGUACUGUGAAUGACAUCUACUCAUCAACUAGUCCAGAAACCCCAAAAUCGUCACCUGCCCUGUCACCCACUGGAGACCAGCCCGCUGUUUCAAACACAGCAGAUAAAAGCCAACCGUCAGCCUCUGCAGUGUACGCUGUCAUCAGUCAUAGGCAGACCGGGAUGGCUGCCAGAAAACAGAACACAGCGCCAACGGAAGAUAAAAACCCACAAUAUGCUGUCAUCAAAGUUCCCUGAAGGUUGUUGAAUUGACACAGACUCUCACAGAUGAAAUGAUGGAAAAAGUGUUGACAGGUAUGUGUUGGUGUCAUGGAACAAUGAGAUGGUUAGACAUCAGCCACGCUGCAGAAAGAGGCGAACGGAGGAGGCUUGUGGUCAUGUAGAUGCACGGUGUGUCAUCGUAAGUUAGCGUGAUAGAACAGAAGCAGGAAUGUAUUUAAUCUCUCAUGCUCAGAUUGGUCAAUUCCAGUCCUUUUCCAAUUCUGUUUUGUUUCUUUUAGUUUGCGUGACUUGGAUGGCUUUUUUGACUUUGGUGGUUCUUUAAAAAAAGCCAGUGGUUAGGUAGAUGUAUCAUGUACAGAUUUACUGAAUACACAUUGUACAUUUUCCUUCCUUCUUUGGUAUGAAAAUGGAACUUUGAGGCAGAUAUCCAUGUUGUAAAGAAAAGCAGCUUUGAUGUAUAAUCCUUGGCAGAGCCCUGAU